rnacentral:rRNA from 1 species
GAUGAACGCUGGCGGCGUGCCUAAUACAUGCAAGUCGAGCGAACGGACGAGAAUCUUGCUUCUCUGAUGUUAGCGGCUGACGUGUGAGUAACACUUGUAUAACCUACCUAUAAGACUGGUAUAACUUCGGGAAACCUGAGCUAAUACCGGCUAAUAUUUUGAUCCGCAUUUUUCAAAAGUGAAAGACGUUCUUUCUGUCACUUAUAGAUGGAUCCUCGCUUCAUUAGCUAGUUGGUAAGGUAACGUCUUACCAAGGCAACGAUGCAUAGACGACCUGAGAGGGGGAUAGGCAACACGGGAACGGAGACACGGACCAGACACCUACGGGAGGAAGCAGUAGGGAAUAUUCGGAAAUGGGCGAAAGCAUGACGGAGCAAAGCCGCGUGAGUGAUGAAGGUCUUAGGAUCGGAAAACUCUGUUAUUAGGGAAGAACAUAUGUGUAAGUAACUGUGCACAUAGUGACGGUAACUAAUCAGAAAGCAACGGCUAACUACGUG